UCUCCGUAGGUGAACCUGCGGAGGGAUCAUUACAGAGUUCUCGCCCUCGCGGGUAGAUCUCCCACCCACCGUUAUCGUUACUGUGUUGCUUUGGCGGGCCGCCGGGCCCCGCUCGGCCGCCGGCUCCGGCUGGCGCGCGCCCGCCAGAGGCCCAGCAAACUCUGAAUGUUAGUGUCGUCUGAGUACUAUAUAAUAGUUAAAACUUUCAACAACGGAUCUCUAGGUUCUG
rnacentral:misc_RNA from 1 species